rnacentral:rRNA from 1 species
UUCGCCCUUAGAGUUUGAUCCUGGCUCAGGACGAACGCUGGCGGCGCGCCUAACACAUGCAAGUCGAACGAGCGAGAGAGAGCUUGCCUUCUCAAGCGAGUGGCGAACGGGUGAGUAACGCGUGAGGAACCUGCCUCAAAGAGGGGGACAACAGUUGGAAACGACUGCUAAUACCGCAUAAGCCCACAGCUCGGCAUCGAGCAGAGGGAAAAGGAGCAAUCCGCUUUGAGAUGGCCUCGCGUCCGAUUAGCUAGUUGGUGAGGUAAUGGCCCACCAAGGCAACGAUCGGUAGCCGGACUGAGAGGUUGAACGGCCACAUUGGGACUGAGACACGGCCCAGACUCCUACGGGAGGCAGCAGUGGGGAAUAUUGCACAAUGGGGGAAACCCUGAUGCAGCGACGCCGCGUGGAGGAAGAAGGUCUUCGGAUUGUAAACUCCUGUUGUUGAGGAAGAUAAUGACGGUACUCAACAAGGAAGUGACGGCUAACUACGUGCCAGCAGCCGCGGUAAAACGUAGGUCACAAGCGUUGUCCGGAAUUACUGGGUGUAAAGGGAGCGCAGGCGGGAAGACAAGUUGGAAGUGAAAUCUAUGGGCUCAACCCAUAAACUGCUUUCAAAACUGUUUUUCUUGAGUAGUGCAGAGGUAGGCGGAAUUCCCGGUGUAGCGGUGGAAUGCGUAGAUAUCGGGAGGAACACCAGUGGCGAAGGCGGCCUACUGGGCACCAACUGACGCUGAGGCUCGAAAGUGUGGGUAGCAAACAGGAUUAGAUACCCUGGUAGUCCACACCGUAAACGAUGAUUACUAGGUGUUGGAGGAUUGACCCCUUCAGUGCCGCAGUUAACACAAUAAGUAAUCCACCUGGGGAGUACGACCGCAAGGUUGAAACUCAAAGGAAUUGACGGGGGCCCGCACAAGCAGUGGAGUAUGUGGUUUAAUUCGACGCAACGCGAAGAACCUUACCAAGUCUUGACAUCCUGCGACGAUGCUGGAAACAGUAUUUUCCUUCGGGACGCAGAGACAGGUGGUGCAUGGUUGUCGUCAGCUCGUGUCGUGAGAUGUUGGGUUAAGUCCCGCAACGAGCGCAACCCUUACUGUCAGUUACUACGCAAGAGGACUCUGGCAGGACUGCCGUUGACAAAACGGAGGAAGGUGGGGAUGACGUCAAAUCAUCAUGCCCUUUAUGACUUGGGCUACACACGUACUACAAUGGCGUUAAACAAAGAGAAGCAAGACCGCGAGGUGGAGCAAAACUCAGAAACAACGUCCCAGUUCGGACUGCAGGCUGCAACUCGCCUGCACGAAGUCGGAAUUGCUAGUAAUCGCAGAUCAGCAUGCUGCGGUGAAUACAAUCCCGGGCCUUGCACUCACGCCCGUCA